CCCUCGGGCCCGGGCGAUUCUGUCGCCUGUGGCCCGGUGUUGGGACCCGCGGCUGCCGCGGUCCCUUAAAAACAGUGGCGGACUUCUUUACAGCCUGGCGCAGUAGCACAUCUCGCCUUCGGCAGUGGAGUGGGCCUUGCCCCCAGCACCUACUGACAAAGCUGGACCUCGAAUCAGGUAGGAAUACCCGCUGAACUUAA
rnacentral:misc_RNA from 1 species